AAGAAAGAGAGAACACAAACAUGGGAAGGGACAGAGGGAGAAACAGGCUCCCCGCUGAGCAGGGAGCCCAAAGUGGGUCUGGAUCCCACAUUCCUAGGAUUAUGACUUGAGCUAAAGGCAGACCCUUAACCAACUGAUCCACCCAGCCACACUGCAGAAAAGAGGCAGAAGAAUUGGAUGGCAAGAUUUCCAACGAGAAAAACAGAAAGACAACGCCUGACGGACACAUUGCCUGCCGAGGAGUAGAAGAAAUGGGAAAUAAGUUCAAUUUGCUGUGAAGAGACUUAAAGAAAAGGUAUUAGCAGCAGAAGGAAGUCAGUCUGGAGAGUAGUCAGGCUGACCGCACAUUUGGAACCGCUGCCUAAAGGAAAUGAAUAUUUGGUGAAUGAAGGUAAAUUUGUCUGUAGUCUCCGGGCUGAGUUCUGACAGCACCCAGCAAAAUUAUAAAGUUUUAACUAUGGCAGCAAGUUCAGACUACAGGUGUGAGAAUAAAGAAUUCCUCAUGGACUGAGACUCCCAUAUCAGUUUUUGAGACUGAGUACAUUCAUCUGAGCUGUUAGCUGCUACGCUCCACUGCGUCCUUGUAUGAUCUGCCUGGUCCAGACCCCUGGAGAAAAUUUGUGCAUGCAUACUGUAUGUGAACUUUAGAUAAAUAAAUAAACACGCGAAACAGCUUCCAGAUAAUUGAAAGUGAAUGAAGGAGGGAGCAAAAAGAAAACAAUUUCUCUGGGGAUAAGCAGCGAAGGUGGCAGAUGUUACAAACACUCAGAUGAGUUUUCUGCAACAAAUUUGUACCUAACAGAGGAAGUUACUCAGAGAGAGAGAGCGAGAGCAUGCACAUGCGGAGAGGGGAGGGACAGAGGGAGAUGGAAAGAGAGUCUUAAGUGGACUCCAGGCACUCAGCAUGGAGCCCCUCAUGCAGCUGGAUCUCAGAACAUGGAGAUCAGGACCCUGAGAUCAUGACCUGAGCCGAAAACAGAGAGUAGUUAGCCAGGCUGCUGAAACUCCAUGGGCUCACCCAGAAACCGUACUUCUAACAGGAGGUCCCAUCGCCGUGUAAGUCCGUGAAAGACCAUGUGGAGCGGCAACUUCAGCUGGCAUCUCUCCACCUCACAGGAUCCCCAAAGCUUUCAAAUCCACCUCAAGCCCAGGCAAUGGCAAAGAGGGAGGAAUUGAAGAAGCAAAAAUAAAUAUUAAAGUACAUAAGAAUCAAAUAUUACCUAUUUAAAUAGCAAUUAUGCAGUUGAAAACAAGAUCAUCACACCUGUACAAGAAAAGGCACGCAAGCCAAAAACAUCUGCUUGGAUCCACCUGCCAGGCACCUGUUUUGCUGUUUCAAUGCCAUUUGAUUGCUGGAGAUGUAGAGGCUCUUGUGAGGUAAUGAGUGAUUUUACAUUAUGCAUGAUUGAAAACAGGUGUUCUAAUGCUGUACAAUUCUAUGCAUGAAUAAUUCAGUUUGUUUAGAGCAAGAUCUUUAAAAGAAGUACUGCAUGGGCUUUAUUAUUUCUAUAAACAUGAAGGUUAUUUUUUUUUAAUGUACAACGAUUGUUCCUUUUCAGUCAGCUUGUUUAUGGCAAUUUUUGUGUAAUUUUAUGGAUGAGGAAUAAUAUCUUGAAAGGUAAAAUUGAUCAUACUUAAAACAUGUAAGAAGUAAAAUUGAAAGGUCUGUUAGCAAGAGGAAA